GGUGGCUCAGUAGUAGAGUGCUUGCCUUGCAUGCAUGAGGCCCUGGGUUUGAUUUCUCAGUACCA
rfam:Dipodomys ordii contig_11275, whole genome shotgun sequence.